GAUGUGGCGGUAGUUGGGCAGCGUUGGACCUGCUGAAUGCCUCAGCUAGAUCAGCAUACUCCGAAGGAAGGU